rnacentral:rRNA from 1 species
AGAUGGCGACCGGCGCACGGGUGAGUAACACGUAUCCAACCUACCGCUAAUACUGGGAAUAGCCUUUCGAAAGAAAGAUUAAUACCGGAUAGCAUACGAAUAUCGCAUGAUAUUUUUAUUUAAAGAAUUUCGGUUAUCGAUGGGGAUGCGUUCCAUUAGUUUGUUGGCGGGGUAACGGCCCACCAAGACUACGAUGGAUAGGGGUUCUGAGAGGAAGGUCCCCCACAUUGGAACUGAGACACGGUCCAA